rnacentral:rRNA from 1 species
GAUGAACGCUGGCGGCGUGCUUAACACAUGCAAGUCGAACGAUGAAGCCCAGCUUGCUGGGUGGAUUAGUGGCGAACGGGUGAGUAACACGUGAGUAACCUGCCCUUAACUCUGGGAUAAGCCGGGGAAACUGGGUCUAAUACCGGAUAGGAGCGUCCACCGCAUGGUGGGUGUUGGAAAGAUUUAUCGGUUUUGGAUGGACUCGCGGCCUAUCAGCUUGUUGGUGAGGUAAUGGCUCACCAAGGCGACGACGGGUAGCCGGCCUGAGAGGGUGACCGGCCACACGGGGACUGAGACACGGCCCAGACUACUACGGGAGGCAGCAGUGGGGAAUAUUGCACGAUGGGCGCAAGCCUGAUGCAGCGACGCCGCGUGAGGGAUGACGGCCUUCGGGUUGUAGACCUCUUUCAGUAGGGAAGAAGCGAAAGUGACGGUACCUGCAGAAGAAGCACCGGCUAACUACGUG